rnacentral:rRNA from 1 species
GAGCGAAUCUCCAAAAAUUAGUCCCAGUUCAGAUUGCAGGCUGCAACUCGCCUGCAUGAAGUCGGAAUUGCUAGUAAUCGUGGAUCAGCAUGCCACGGUGAAUACGUUCCCGGGCCUUGUACACACCGCCCGUCACACCAUAGGAGUCGGUAACACCCGAAGCCUGUAGUCUAACCGCAAGGAGGACGCAGUCGAAGGUGGGAUUGAUGACUGGGGUGAAGUCGUAACAAGGUAUC